UAUGUUCUUGUAAUAAAUAAAACAUGAGUACCUGUAUCUUUGGUAAUCUAAGUAUAUUUUAAAAUGUAGUGUCUUGUAGAAAUACUAGUUUUACAACAGCUGAGUACUUCUGGUAUCAGAGACGGGUCAAAGUCAUUGAUUCACCUCAAAACCUCAAAAGUCCAAAGUAAUUCUACAGUAAGUCGCAGGUCUUGACUCUCAAGUCCCAAAUCAAGUCCUGAAUCAAAUCCUGAAUCAGAUCCAGCAUCAGGUCCUGGUGGUAUGAGUUUGUGACUCGGGUCCAGGUUUAGUGACACACUGGGACCUGUUUGACCUCAUUCGAUUUGUUGAAUCAAAGGGACGAACGGACGUCCUGCAGCGGGCGUCCCAGCCUUGGACCCUGUAGGAGACAACUGGAACGGACAGAGAAUGUUGCUGUUGUUGUUGUUGUUGUUGUUGUUUUUACAGUGUGCAGCUUCUAGUCGGCGCUCGAUUGCGGCUCCUCGGAGGGAACCGGACUCCUUUGAAUGCAGCCGGAGCCUCGUUCGCAAAAGUUCGUGGAAAAUAUGACGUCCAACGGCAGAGUGGAUUAAUAACAAAGGACAGGGGAUGCAACACAGCUGCGCAUGAAGGAUGAAGAAGACUUCAGAAGGCCUUUUCGUUUCAUCUUGGCAUCCGUGGAGUCUGCAACAAACCAAAAGACAAUUAAAGUUAUUUUUGUAAACCCAAUCAUGAGUCCGAAGCAGCUGCUUUCCACGUACUUAUUCAUCAAUAAUUACAAAACACAAGGAACAUUAAUCCAAAGAGAA